AUUCCAGACUCCUACGGGAGGCAGCAGUGGGGAAUAUUGCACAAUGGGGGAAACCCUGAUGCAGCGACGCCGCGUGAGUGAAGAAGUAAUUCGUUAUGUAAAGCUCUAUCAGCAGGGAAGAAAAUGACGGUACCUGAGUAAGAAGCCCCGGCUAACUACGUGCCAGCAGCCGCGGUAAUACGUAGGGGGCAAGCGUUAUCCGGAUUUACUGGGUGUAAAGGGAGCGUAGACGGCAGUGCAAGUCUGGAGUGAAAGGCGGGGGCUCAACCCCGGGACUGCAUUUGGAACUGUGUGGCUGGAGUGUCGGAGAGGCAGGCGGAAUUCCUAGUGUAGCGGUGAAAUGCGUAGAUAUUAGGAGGAACACCAGUGGCGAAGGCGGCCUGCUGGACAUUAACUGACGCUGAGGCGCGAAAGCGUGGGGAGCAAACAGGAUUAGAUACCCUAGUAG
rnacentral:rRNA from 1 species